CAGUCGUUAUACUGAAAAAGAUGCAGCAGUGGUUGUAGGGCAAAUGCUUAAGGUUGGUACAACAGGACAUGAAACCAGAGGUGUGGUCCAGUCCGCUGACAUAUAUAAGCAAUAUGUAGUUAUGCAAGUAUACAUGAAAAUAUUUUUGUUUCCUCUUUGUAUGCAGAAUUUUCUUUUCAAAUCAAACAGAUAAGAUUCACCUUUAAAGGCUACCGAUUUUGAUGUGUCUGAUUUCAUAAAACCUGGUGAGGAAAAAUAUUCAUGCUAUUGAUUUGUCCCUCCCAUAUUUGUUGUGUCACUUGUGUGGCCUUAACCAAUAUUGUAAGUGGUUCUGUUGCAUUUGAUUUGCAAAUAAAAACUAUUAUAAGCUGGAAAGUUUAACUUUCUAUAUCUUUUUUUACUAAGAAAUAGCUUUUUUACUAUAUCUAUUGUUAAUUUCUGUUCAGCUGAAUCCUUUCCUCCAUAGUACUACUUGGAGGAGUUGUAGAUUGAGUGUCUUCGCCAUUUGUACUGGUGUUCUACUUCUUGGUUUGGAGAAGUUUACAAUUAUAUUAGAGUCAUUCACGCAAUUCCUUCACUACAGGCCCUGUCAUUGACCAUUCUAGCAAGGAAGGUGUCUCAGCUUCAGUGUUUGUCUGAGGUGGAAGCUUAAAACUCCUUAUCAUCUAUUUGCAUUGUUGUCUCCUUGGGCAUGUCACUCACAAACAAAAUGAGUGCACUGGUUUUAUGAUUAAUUAUAGUAAUAGCUGUGUAUUUUAGUUUGCUGGAUAUUUUCUUGUUUAAUUACACAAAAUGUUGUAAGAAAUUCAAUCAUAAUCGAACAGUUGUGUAAUUAUUUGGAAACAUUUGACAACGGUUAGGAAACCGUGCUCAUAAAUAUUAG